rnacentral:lncRNA from 1 species
CGACGGCGGAAGUGGAGCUCGGGCCGCGCCGCCCGCCGCGAAAGCGUGGUUGGUUGCGGGUGCGGAGCAGUCCCGCGGGAGGGCGCGCCGGGUGCGAGGCCCUCCCCGGCCCUCCCCGGCCCUCCCCGCCCUGUGGAGGCUCCUCGCCGACCCCCGGUGCCCGCCCGUUUCCACGCACCCACUGGGCGCGAGGGGCGGAGGCCCAGCCCCGGCCACGCAUCGUCGAGAGGCCGCCGCGGGGCCGGGCCAAGCGGGCGGGCCCGCGCGUGCUCCGCGCCCCGCAGGUGUCCGAGGGUCCGCAGGUGUCCCGACUCCUCCCCACGUCGGGAUGGCCGUCACAAUCUCGGCGGGCGACGCGAGGACCUCCGAGGGAAGGGGCGAACGCAGAGAGACUGCGGUCCUCCGUGGGACUUGCCACCCGCCCUCGCAGGCCCCCGGGGCGGCCGCUUGGCUCCGACCGCGGGCGCAGGUCGUGGCGGGGCGACUUCCCGAAGUUGUGCGCGGCCAAGGGAUCGGUCUCCUCCAGGGCCCGUGUGUGCGGAGACGGCGAGCAUCGGCUGCAGAGCUCGGGGGAGGGACUCCGCCUUUUCAGUUGAUGUUAAUAAAUAAGCCUUGGUAA